UACGGAGGGAGCUAGCGUUAUUCGGAAUUAUUGGGCGUAAAGGGAGUGUAGGCGGUUGAGAAAGUCUUCUGUGAAAUCUACGGGCUCAGCCUGUAACGUGCAGAGGAAACUACUCGGCUUGAGUGUCGGAGAGGAUAGGGGAAUACCCGGUGUAGAGGUGAAAUUCGUAGAGAUCGGGUGGAACACCAGUGGCGAAGGCGCCUGCCUGGCUGACAACUGACGCUGAGACUCGAAAGCAUGGGGAGCGAACAGG
rnacentral:rRNA from 1 species